UGAGUAACCUGCCCUUAACUCUGGGAUAAGCCUGGGAAACUGGGUCUAAUACCGGAUAUGACUCCUCAUCGCAUGGUGGGGGGUGGAAAGCUUUUUUGUGGUUUUGGAUGGACUCGCGGCCUAUCAGCUUGUUGGUGAGGUAAUGGCUCACCAAGGCGACGACGGGUAGCCGGCCUGAGAGGGUGGCCGGCCACACUGGGACUGAGACACGGCCCAGACUCCUACGGGAGGCAG
rnacentral:rRNA from 1 species